GGUUCAGCUUCUGUUCCUACUUCCAUGUCCAUGUCUGAAGCCUAUGACGAAAUUAAAAAGCUUGUAAGGUUUAUGAGUAUAUACACACAAGGGAAAUUGCCGAAAAUUCUUACCGAAAUUAUUGCCAAAGAGGAAAACUGGAUUAGUUUAUUGAAGUUGACUGAACCAGAGAGUUGGUCAAUCAAUGCCAUGUACAAGGUUACAACCAUGUUUGCCUCCAGUAGCAAAGCUGGACUCUUCUUUAAGCAUUUUCUUCUUCCUCGGGUGAGAGAGGAUAUCAGAAACCACAGAAAGCUACACUUUCUUCUCUACCAAUCCUUGAAAAAGACACUAUUCAGGCCCAAGGAUUUCUACUUGAGAAUUCUUUUUCCCCUGUGUAAGUCCGGAAAUUGCACCCAAGACGAAGCUAGAAUCAUAGGAAGUAUGAUACAAAAAUGUUCUAUUUCUGAAAACUUCUCAA